rnacentral:rRNA from 1 species
GCGGAGCCAUCCUUGGGAUACCACCCUUGUAGUACUGGGACUCUAACCAUAGGCCAUGAAGCUGGUCUUGGGACACUGUCAGGUGGGCAGGUUGACUGGGGCGGUCGCCUCCCAAAAGGUAACGGAGGCGCUCAAAGGUUCUCUCAGUACGGUCGGAAAUCGUACGUAGAGUGUAAAGGCAAAAGAGAGCUUGAUUGCAAGACAUACAGGUCGAGCAAGGAUGAAAAUCGGACUUAGUGAUCCGGUGGUUCUGCGUGGAAGGGCCAUCG